AAACUCAAAGGAAUUGACGGGGGCCCGCACAAGCGGUGGAGCAUGUGGUUCAAUUCGACGCAACGCGAAGAACCUUACCCAGGCUUGAACAGCGAGUGACAAACUACGAAAGUGGUCUUCCGCAAGGACACUCGUAGAGGUGCUGCAUGGCUGUCGUCAGCUCGUGUCGUGAGAUGUUGGGUUAAGUCCCGCAACGAGCGCAACCCUUGUCUGCUGUUGCCAUCAGGUUAAGCUGGGCACUCUGCAGAGACUGCCGGUGAUAAACCGGAGGAAGGUGGGGAUGACGUCAAGUCAGCAUGGCCUUUAUGUCUGGGGCUACACACGUGCUACAAUGGCCGGUACAAACCGUCGCAAAACCGUAAGGUGGAGCUAAUCGGAGAAAGCCGGUCUCAGUUCGGAUAGCAGGCUGCAACUCGCCUGCUUGAAGUUGGAAUCGCUAGUAAUCGCGGAUCAGCACGCCGCGGUGAAUACGUUCCCGGGCCUUGUACACACCGCCCGUC
rnacentral:rRNA from 1 species